rnacentral:rRNA from 1 species
ACACGUAAGGGGCGGAGCGUUGUUCGGAAUUAUUGGGCGUAAAGGGCGCGUAGGCGGUAUUGCAAGCCCGGCGUGAAAAGUCUGGAGGCUUAACUCCGGAACUGCGUUGGGAACUGCGAAACUAGAGUCAUGGAAGGGGAGUUGGAAUUCCAGGUGUAGGGGUGAAAUCUGUAGAUAUCUGGAAGAACACCGGUGGCGAAGGCGAACUCCUGGCUGAUGACUGACGCUGAGGCGCGAAAGUGCGGGGAGC